GACGAACGCUGGCGGCGUGCUUAACACAUGCAAGUCGAACGGUGAAGCUCCAGCUUGCUGGAGUGGAUCAGUGGCGAACGGGUGAGUAACACGUGAGCAACCUGCCCCUGACUCUGGAAUAAGCGCUGGAAACGGCGUCUAAUACUGGAUACGAGAAGGGCCCGCAUGGGCACUUUCUGGAAAGUUUUUCGGUUGGGGAUGGGCUCGCGGCCUAUCAGCUUGUUGGUGAGGUAAUGGCUCACCAAGGCGACGACGGGUAGCCGGCCUGAGAGGGCGACCGGCCACACUGGGAAUGAGACACGGCCCAGACUCCGACGGGAGGCAGCAGUGGGGAAUAUUGCACAAUGGGCGAAAGCCUGAUGCAGCGACGCCGCGGGAGGGAUGACGGCCUUCGGGUUGUAAACCUCUUUCAGCAGGGAAGAAGCGAAAGUGACGGUACCUGCAGAAGAAGCACCGGCUAACUACGUG
rnacentral:rRNA from 1 species